CCGUGCUAGAUGGGGAGGUAGCGGUGCCCUGUAACCUGCAAUCCGCUAUAGCAGGAUUGAAUUCCUAGUUUCGGCUUAUUUAUUCUAGGGUCUGCCCUAAAUAAGUGAUGUUGACGAUUGGGUCCUGCGCAAUGGAAAUUCAUGAACUCCGUCAGGUCCGGGAGGAAGCAGCGGUAAGUGAACACUUUCAUGUGCCGUGGGAGUGCCUAGUCCGAGUUAACUGUUUAGGUAACGUCUAGGGUAAUAAGUCUACGCUAGGUGCACGG
rnacentral:SRP_RNA from 1 species